UACGCUGGAAACUAAAAAGCACAAGGAUUGGUUUCCGUUUCAUCCCCUCUCGCGACUCUCUAGACAUAUUCUCCUUGAUUCAGUAGCUUGGCGUUCUCCUAAUGUCAACGAUAGACCUCAAGCUUUCUCGAUCCAACCGAAUCUAUCGCUCCUCUGAACCUCUUCAAGGCAAAAUUGUCAUCAAGUCUCCAUCUUCACUUUCUCACUAUGGAAUUCGCCUCACCAUCAAUGGAUCUGUUAACAUGCAGAUUCGGGGAGGAUCUGCAGGAGUUAUUGAAUCCUUUUAUGGUGUUAUAAAGCCCAUAACCAUUGUGAAUAAGAGCUUCGAGAUUAGAUCUUCAGGCAAGAUUGAUUCAGGUACUUCAGAGAUACCAUUUUCUGUAAUUCUGAAACAACCUGGAGAAGAAAGCUUAGAAAGGUUUUACGAGACUUUCCAUGGAACAGACAUUAGCAUCCAGUAUUUGGUGACUGUAGAUAUAUCGAGGGGGUACCUGCAUAAAUCAUUGUCUACAACCAUGGAAUUUAUAGUUGAAAGUGAUAAAGCUGAUCUUCUUGAGCGAUCAGUUUCUUCUGAGAUGGCUAUCUUUUACAUUACCCAGGACACUCAGAGACAUCCACUGCUUCCUGAAUUAAAGUCAGGUGGUUUUCUGGUGACUGGAAGGAUAUCCACUCAAUGUUCAUUGUUGGAUCCUAUUAGUGGAGAGCUAACCGUAGAAAGAUCUGCAGUUCCCAUUUGCUCUAUUGACAUUCACUUGCUUCGAGUAGAGUCGAUUCUCCUUGGAGAGAAAAUUGUGACUGAAACCUCUUUGAUUCAAACCACACAGAUAGCUGAUGGAGAUGUCUGUCGCAGUAUGACUUUGCCCAUCUAUGUUAUCCUGCCCCGUCUUUUGACUUGUCCAACUGUCUUAGCUGGGUGAGCUUUGUAUUCUUGUUUGAUCAAGUUAUUCUGGUGAAUGCAUGAAGGUGACAAGCAAAAGGACCCUUGAUUAGAUUAAAAUCAGUACUUUGCUGAAGCGUUCAGCUACUACUCAAAUUAUAUUUACCAUUUUGUCCAUUUUCAAUUGAGUUCAAAGUGUCCAUUGUUAUCAGCUUUCAAUCAGAACUGUCCAAGUUGCAUACAAAAUCUGAUCCAAGAACUCCAAGACUCUGGCUGGCAAUGGAAACUUUACCUUUGGAACUCGUCCGUACAAAAGGAUGAGUUCCAUAUGAAGGCAACCAUUCACUGAUAUGUUCGAGCGUGAUUUUUCUAAAUUGUGCCCUUCAAGUACAAGGAUGGCAGUGCAAGUGCAGCAGUAACUGAAUUUUGUGGGUUAUUUGUGGUCAGCUUCUGCUUCCCUCUUGUGAAAUAUGUUCUGUAUGCAAAGAAUUAACUUUAGUGUAAAUAUAUAAGUCUACUUCCAGCUUGGAAUCAUGUUAUUUGCAUUGUGAAGCUGUGAUCCAGCAGGAGCCUGGUUAUGAAGAUCCAUGGAGUCUAUUCUUCUGGUUGACAUGCUCUAAUUGAUUGGCAUUUUCUGAUGUUUUUUUGUUGAA